GGUUAAGCGACUAAGCGUACACGGUGGAUGCCCUGGCAGUCAGAGGCGAUGAAGGACGUGCUAAUCUGCGAAAAGCGCCGGCGAGGUGAUAUGAACCUUUGACCCGGCGAUGUCCGAAUGGGGAAACCCAGUGUGAUUCGUCACACUAUCGUUAACUGAAUACAUAGGUUAACGAGGCGAACCGGGGGAACUGAAACAUCUAAGUACCCCGAGGAAAAGAAAUCAACCGAGAUUCCCCCAGUAGCGGCGAGCGAACGGGGAGCAGCCCGGAGUCUGAAUCAGCUUGUGUGUUAGUGGAACGGUCUGGAAAGUCCGACGGUACAGGGUGAUAGUCCCGUACACGAAAAUGCACAGGUUGUGAACUCGAAGAGUAGGGCGGGACACGUGGUAUCCUGUCUGAAUAUGGGGGGACCAUCCUCCAAGGCUAAAUACUCCUGACUGACCGAUAGUGAACCAGUACCGUGAGGGAAAGGCGAAAAGAACCCCGGCGAGGGGAGUGAAAAAGAACCUGAAACCGUGUACGUACAAGCAGUGGGAGCCUACUUGUUAGGUGACUGCGUACCUUUUGUAUAAUGGGUCAGCGACUUAUAUUCUGUAGCAAGGUUAACCGAAUAGGGGAGCCGAAGGGAAACCGAGUCUUAACUGGGCGUUAAGUUGCAGGGUAUAGACCCGAAACCCGGUGAUCUAGCCAUGGGCAGGUUGAAGGUUGGGUAACACUAACUGGAGGACCGAACCGACUAAUGUUGAAAAAUUAGCGGAUGACCUGUGGCUGGGGGUGAAAGGCCAAUCAAACCGGGAGAUAGCUGGUUCUCCCCGAAAGCUAUUUAGGUAGCGCCUCGUGAACUCAUCUUCGGGGGUAGAGCACUGUUUCGGCUAGGGGGCCAUCCCGGCUUACCAACCCGAUGCAAACUACGAAUACCGAAGAAUGUUAUCACGGGAGACACACGGCGGGUGCUAACGUCCGUCGUGAAGAGGGAAACAACCCAGACCGCCAGCUAAGGUCCCAAAGUCAUGGUUAAGUGGGAAACGAUGUGGGAAGGCACAGACAGCCAGGAUGUUGGCUUAGAAGCAGCCAUCAUUUAAAGAAAGCGUAAUAGCUCACUGGUCGAGUCGGCCUGCGCGGAAGAUGUAACGGGGCUAAACCAUGCACCGAAGCUGCGGCAGCGACGCUUAUGCGUUGUUGGGUAGGGGAGCGUUCUGUAAGCCGUUGAAGGUGGCCUGUGAGGGUUGCUGGAGGUAUCAGAAGUGCGAAUGCUGACAUAAGUAACGAUAAAGCGGGUGAAAAGCCCGCUCGCCGGAAGACCAAGGGUUCCUGUCCAACGUUAAUCGGGGCAGGGUGAGUCGACCCCUAAGGCGAGGCCGAAAGGCGUAGUCGAUGGGAAACAGGUUAAUAUUCCUGUACUUGGUGUUACUGCGAAGGGGGGACGGAGAAGGCUAUGUUAGCCGGGCGACGGUUGUCCCGGUUUAAGCAUGUAGGCGGAGGUUCCAGGUAAAUCCGGUACCUUUUUAACGCUGAGGUGUGAUGACGAGGCACUACGGUGCUGAAGUAACAAAUGCCCUGCUUCCAGGAAAAGCCUCUAAGCAUCAGGUAACACGAAAUCGUACCCCAAACCGACACAGGUGGUCAGGUAGAGAAUACCAAGGCGCUUGAGAGAACUCGGGUGAAGGAACUAGGCAAAAUGGUGCCGUAACUUCGGGAGAAGGCACGCUGAUAUGUAGGUGAAGCCCCUGCGGGUGGAGCUGAAAUCAGUCGAAGAUACCAGCUGGCUGCAACUGUUUAUUAAAAACACAGCACUGUGCAAACACGAAAGUGGACGUAUACGGUGUGACGCCUGCCCGGUGCCGGAAGGUUAAUUGAUGGGGUUAGCGGUAACGCGAAGCUCUUGAUCGAAGCCCCGGUAAACGGCGGCCGUAACUAUAACGGUCCUAAGGUAGCGAAAUUCCUUGUCGGGUAAGUUCCGACCUGCACGAAUGGCGUAAUGAUGGCCAGGCUGUCUCCACCCGAGACUCAGUGAAAUUGAACUCGCUGUGAAGAUGCAGUGUACCCGCGGCAAGACGGAAAGACCCCGUGAACCUUUACUAUAGCUUGACACUGAACACUGGUCCUUGAUGUGUAGGAUAGGUGGGAGGCUUUGAAGCGUGGACGCCAGUCUGCGUGGAGCCGACCUUGAAAUACCACCCUUUAAUGGCUGGUGUUCUAACGUAGACCCGUAAUCCGGGUUGCGGACAGUGUCUGGUGGGUAGUUUGACUGGGGCGGUCUCCUCCCAAAGAGUAACGGAGGAGCACGAAGGUUAGCUAAUCCUGGUCGGACAUCAGGAGGUUAGUGCAAUGGCAUAAGCUAGCUUGACUGCGAGAGUGACGGCUCGAGCAGGUGCGAAAGCAGGUCAUAGUGAUCCGGUGGUUCUGAAUGGAAGGGCCAUCGCUCAACGGAUAAAAGGUACUCCGGGGAUAACAGGCUGAUACCGCCCAAGAGUUCAUAUCGACGGCGGUGUUUGGCACCUCGAUGUCGGCUCAUCACAUCCUGGGGCUGAAGUAGGUCCCAAGGGUAUGGCUGUUCGCCAUUUAAAGUGGUACGCGAGCUGGGUUUAGAACGUCGUGAGACAGUUCGGUCCCUAUCUGCCGUGGGCGCUGGAGAAUUGAGGGGGGCUGCUCCUAGUACGAGAGGACCGGAGUGGACGCAUCACUGGUGUUCGGGUUGUCAUGCCAAUGGCACUGCCCGGUAGCUAAAUGCGGAAGAGAUAAGUGCUGAAAGCAUCUAAGCACGAAACUUGCCCCGAGAUGAGUUCUCCCUGAGACUAUAAGUCUCCUGAAGGAACGUUGAAGACGACGACGUUGAUAGGUCGGGUGUGUAAGCGCAGCGAUGCGUUGAGCUAACCGAUACUAAUGAACCGUGAGGCUUAACCUU
rnacentral:rRNA from 1 species